UUUUUUUUUUUUUUUUUUCUAUAUUUUUUUCUCCCAGAACUUCAUUAAGAUUUAUCCGGUGAUUUCCUCCAUUAAUCUCGCUUUCAAUUCAACGAGGCUGGAGUAUUGAAAGUUCUGUUCUCUCAAGUUAGAAAAAAUACAUCCUCUCGCAUUCAUUCAUCUUGAAAAAUUCCAAGGGUGGAGAUAAAGGGAGAGAAAAAAAUUGAAUAUUCUCCGCCAUUAAAGUGUAUACCCAGUAAGUAGUUUUCUCUUAUUUAAUUACUUUAUUAAAUAACAACUAUAUUAUUAAUAUUUUCGUUUAUUGUUGGGGAAAAUAAUCGAAGCUUUUUGCUUUGAACGAAAGCCAAUUGGAAUUCGCAUUGUCGUCAAAUUGUUUUCUUCUGCGUGAAAACACUUCCAUCUCCCUCUAUUAUUUUAUUUAAUUGUUGUUCUCCUGUUCGUGUUUGAAAUCUGUGUUUUUCUUCUAGUUUCGUUUACUGUUCUUGUCGUGGUUAUUGUUAAUGGUGACAGAUGCCGGAG
rnacentral:lncRNA from 1 species